UACAGAGGGUGCGAGCGUUAAUCGGAAUAACUGGGCGUAAAGGGCGCGUAGGCGGUUUUGAAAGUAAGCUGUGAAAUCCCUGGGCUUAACCUAGGAAUUGCAGCUUAGACUAUGAAGCUAGAGUACAGUAGAGGGUGGCGGAAUUUCCGGUGUAGCGGUGAAAUGCGUAGAGAUCGGAAGGAACAUCAGUGGCGAAGGCGGCCACCUGGACUGUGUCUGACGCUGAGGCGCGAGAGCGUGGGGAGCAAACAGG
rnacentral:rRNA from 1 species